UAUGGCUGCGAACCUGUAUUUACGGAACAUCAUCGACGAAUCUUGUGAAAGGAAGUGCGCGAAUCGUGAUUUUAAUUUCGUUUUUCCUAAAAAUAAUUAACACGAGGAGUUAAAUAAAUAAUAUAUUUUAUAAAUCCGUUGGAAAAAUUUACGCUUAAUUCAGUAAACUCGGUGUUUUAUGGGGUACUUCGCAGCGACUUUAAACGCGUAAUAACCUCGGCCUUCGUUUAUUGGAAAUGCAAGUUUUCUCUCUUUUUAUGAAUAUCUAAUUAGUUUUUAGUCGAUUUAAGGGUAAGUUAGUGCAAAUGGCCAGUGAUUUCUCGAGUGGUUGUACGGAAGCGGUUGACGUUUUAGAUGAGAAAGAAGAAGGAGAGAUAUCACUCGAAGAUGUCAGCUCCUCGGAAGAAGGACACCAGAAUUAUGGAUGUAAUUCGAGAAGCAUUGAGCAGUGUCCUGGAUGUUCUUCAACACAGCAUUGCGCCUCCUGGUGUACCACUGCCGCCAGAACGAAUCGCUCGAAGGCUUUACAAAAAAAAGAUGCAGCGCAAGAGAAGGAGAAUCGUCAUCAUUCGAAAGGCACAGGACAAUUAGGAGGGAGACAUGCGAGCUCUACACUGCAGGAAAAGAACGAUGAUCUUAUUCCAAUCUCGAGUGACAGCGACAUGGAACUCGUCGGGCUGGCAGAAAGCACAGUUCGUGCAAAGUCGAGUAAAGUGAAGAAAAAGAGAAAAAAGCGAAGACCUCGGUCGUCUUCUUCUCUGCAAGUCGAGGAAGAGCCCGCAAAGGUACACGAAAUCAUUGAAACUAUGACUAUUAUCAAACACAAUCCGACAUCUUCGAAGGAGAAUCGGUUGCUCAAAACACGUCACAGGACAAAAAGUCCAGUUGUCGUUCCAAAAACGAGAUCUUCUCCAAGGAAGCACAGAUCGCCUCCAGUGAGACCACCUCGGCCUGCAAUCAAGAAAACGCGAUCAUCAGCUGCACCCGUUAAAUCAGCAGUGACGAGAAAAUCUCCAAGAAGACUCAAAUCACCAAGAAGAUUGGUGAAUCCGGUGCACAAAAAGGUCCGGAAACAUUCAUCACCAUCCAAGGUAACGUCUUCUCCAUCGAAUGACGUGAGAUUUACCAAGUUGUUGAAAAAAGUCAGACAGUUGGACAUGGUAGGCACUCGGAAAAAUGAUAAAGUUUCGAGUCAAGCCAAGGAGCAUGGAUCGUCUCUGAAAGAGAAGUUGAGCAAUAUACUCAAGUCUACGACAGAGUCGAACGAAAGUGUCGCUAAUCAAGUGAAAGAGGAUGCCAGCGAUCAGAAGAAAGUGGAGAAGGGCGAGGAGGAUGAUGAUUUGAAUGCCUUGAGGCAGAAGGCUUUGGAGACGAAGCAAAGUAAAACGAGCAAAAGCCAAGAAUCACUCAACACUGAAUCGGAUAUCAAAGGAAGCAGUAAUAACGAAGAUGAUAACGAUGAGGAUUUGCAGUUGCGAUUGAUCGCUCUUCGUUCUGCGGUUUAUAAAAAACACCACAAUCGAGUUCAACGGCGUGAAAAGUCGUCGAAAAAGAAGUCUCCCGUCCGAAGAGCCGAGAGUCCAUUCAGCGACAGUUUCAUAAACAAUGUCACUGACAUUGAUGAUGAGAGUCCUUCAAUUUCGCCGAGAAGAUCACCAGCAAUGAAGGACUGUAUGAGUCUAGAAGACAUGGAGUUGGAUUCUGAUUUAGAAAGAGGCGAAGAAUUUGACGAUGCUCCCUAUUCGCCUACCGAUGAAAUUAACAGUGAAUUGAUUUUAGAGGCGGAGCAAUUGGGUCUUGAUGCGACAGAUGUUUCCUUAAUUAACAUCAAUAGUCGCGUUAGGUUUUCGUCUCCUGUAGCCAGUACCGAGCGAGAAUCUACUCCUUCCACUCCCUCGUUAGGAAAUCUUUUUUGCAGUUCCAGCUAUUCCACGACAACUUUAAAUUCCGAUUUUAUGUAUCCCACCUCACACAGCACCAUCUCAUCCGACUCUCCUACUAAAGAUACUCAUAUUAGAAUGCCAAAUGAGGAGAGGCCAUAUUCUCCUUCCGACACUCCAGUUUAUGAUCCGGAUUUAUCAUAUUCUCUCUUACCCCCAAAUAUUGUCAAUAGUAAUCUGACAGAAAAUCACAAGUAUGUGAAUAAUUUAGGAGUUAAUCAAUUGCAUUCGAGUCUCAUGCGGCCCGUGGAACCGUUAGAAAUAGGUAAGAUCAAUUUUCCGGACGAUUUAUUAUCGCAUUCCAUGAAUUCGAUGAUGCCCGGUGAUCUGAUAGCAGGCGAUGACUUUCCGGACACUGAUUUAGAUGGAAGUCCUCUGGUGCCAAUGGAGCAGGAUUCAGGCGCAGACUAUCACAUUCCAGAACAUCUCUCUUAUCAGAUGCUCCAGCCUUCCUAUCAGCCUCUUUAUUUGCGAAACUCGCCAAACCUUCACCAUGGAAUGAAUCAAAUGCCGAGUUUAAUUGGCAAACCUCUGGUGCCUGCGCCAGUUUCGAGACUAAAUAAUUUGCAUCAGGAGCCGAAUAAAGCAGCUCAUCUCUCUAUAAGGAAGCAAGAAACACAAGAGCUCGCUUCAUCCAAAAAACAGACUGCCCAGAAUGUGGGAGUCUUUGAUCAAUUUGGAGGAAGGUCUAUGUCUGACAUAAGCGAAAAUGUAAUUGAGAAGAGCAUGGAGGAGAAUGAAAACGAUAAAGUUGUAAAUAGUCCUGAAGAUGAGACGCUCGAUUCGCACAGGAAGAGAAAGAAAAUUCGAAAAAAGAGGAGAAACUCGAGAAAGAGUCCAAGUGAACCUGAAGAAAUGAUGACAAAUUCUGUGGAACAAGUGUCUGCAAAGCGGUUGAAAUCUGUUGAGACUGAAAGGAUUGUUGAAGUCAAUAGUGUAGAUGUAAAUAAAUCAAAGGCCAAUAAAUUAGAGAAAAGUGUAGAAACUGUGAAAGUGAGUGUAGACAGUAAUGUGGAACAUGCAAACAGGCGACAAUAUGAUCCUUAUAAUAACAAUAUAACAAUCGUCGAUGGCCAGCUCUCUGUAUCGAAAAAUAGUAUUAAAGACACGGAUGCUGAUUCAAAAGCAUCUGAGGGACCGAGGAGAAGAAGCAUCGACGAAGACGAAGAAGCGCUCCGAGCGAGUUUGCUUGCUUCUUUGGCAAGUCGCACAAAAUCUGCAGAAAGUGUUGUAAACAAAUCUGAAAACACGGCGCCGAAAGUUGCUGUAACUAAGACCAACAAUGCAACAACAAAUAAGCCUGCCCAGAAUAUUCAAAGGAGGCAGACUAACAGUCUUCCGGCGGCUCCAAAGAAAAAUAUACACUUGAAUUCAUCAGUGGCUGCCGGCGCUAAACAAGCUGCAAAAGUGCCAGUCAAUAAUUCCGAAGCGAGCAAUUCGAUUUUAGGGAAAAGGCGUUCCAAUUCAGUGCUGGUCAUCUCUCCGAAGAAAAUUGCGAAAAAGACCGUGAUUCCGGCAAGUAUAAAAGUCGUGAAUAAUGCGAAACGCUACCAGAAUUCGCUGAUUCAGAAACGGCUGAAUCUGCAGAAGUUAAACGCGUUCAGUGUUAGGAAAAUUAUAGCCAAUCGGUCGUUGCGCGUUCUCAAUCGAAAUGAAAAUACUCGAUCAAUUAGUCCGAAUGUGUCUGCGUUUAAGAAUGGCGAACGGUUUAUUAUAAAUUUGAAUUCGGACUCGGAUAGUGAUUCAAAUUCGGAUGGGAAGUAUUCCAAAGUCGCUGUCGCGAGCAAACGUAGUGUAGAGAAAUGUCAGCCCCUCACGAUUCCUACGACGGAGUUUGAAAAAAGCGUGGAACAAUUUCUGCGCGAUCAACGCAAGAAGCAGGAGACAGCAGCUGCCACUAAACCCGUCAAUAUCACUCUUGUAAAAAAACAAGGUCCUCCUGCUCCUGCUACUGCUGCUGCUGCUGCUGAAACGCCACCGAAGAAAGGAAAAGUUACUCUGCCUGCUACACCGCUGGCUGUUCGACACCUACCAGCAUCUCAGCAAGAAGAAUACCAUCGGUUGAAGCAGCAGAUCUUAGAACGUGAAAAAUUAAAAUUACAGAGAUCGGGUCAAUCUUCUGAUUCUAAUACUGUUACACCACCAGGUCCCCUUUCUCCAGCAGGACCAAUAGCUUCCUCAAAGCAAAAAGCCGUCUCGACUGUUGUAAAAAACAAUCUUCCAAAAGCUCUCUCAGACCCAAAAAGCUCUCCAGCAACUAAUUUAUUAGCUCCAAGUUCAUCAAGCUUGACACUCGCUUCUCAAAAACCAAACUUGAGCAUUCGAAUCAAAAAUGAUGGCGUCUCGCCUACUAGGGUUUCAACUCUAUCCACUUCAAAGAAUUCACCAAAUACGCAAAAAUCCACUCAAGGGAAUUCUCAAGAAGUCGCGAAAAAUGUAGUGCCCAAGUUGGCAAAUUUAUCAGCUGUGAGUUCUUCUAGUUCCGCACUCGCUUCUCAAAAAGCAAAUUUGAGCAUUCGAAUCAGGAAUGAUGGCGUCUCGCCUACCAGGGUUUCAACAAUGCCGGUCUCGAGGAAUUCUCCAAAUACGCAGAAAUCUACUCUAGGUAACAUUCAAGAAGUCGCGAAAAAUGUAGUGCCCAAAUUGCCAAAUUUAUCAGCUGCGAGUUCUUCUAGUUCCGCACUCGCUUCUCAAAAAGCAAAUUUGAGCAUUCGAAUCAGGAAUGAUGGCGUCUCGCCUACCAGGGUUUCAACAAUGCCGGUCUCGAGGAAUUCUCCAAAUACGCAGAAAUCUACUCUAGGUAAUAUUCAAGAAGUCGCGAAAAAUGUAGUGCCCAAAUUGCCAAAUUUAUCAGCUGCGAGUUCUUCUAGUUCCGCACUUGCUUCUCAAAAAGCAAAUUUGAGCAUUCGAAUCCGGAAUGAUGGUGUCUUGCCAACUAGGAUUUCAACUCUACCUGCUUCAAGGAAUUCUCCGAAUACUCAAAAAUUUACUCAGGGAAAUGUCCAGGGAAAUAUGCAAGGGAAUUCUCAAGAUGUGUCGAAAAAUGUAGUGCCUAAGUUAGGAAGUUUGUUAGCUGCGAGUUCUUCUAGUUCUACACUUGCUUCUCAAAAACCAAACAUGAGCAUUCGAAUUAGAAAUGAUGGUGUCUCGCCAACUCGACCUGCUUCAAGGAAUUCUCCAAAUACUCAAAAAUCUGCGCAAGCGAAUUGUCAAGAACUACCUGAAACAACAAUGCCUAAGUUGAGAGUUUUGACUUGCGAACAAGUUAAUAAGAAGUUUCUUCAUGUAGGGGUGAACCAGAAAAAUGGAAGGACAGUGAUAGUGGGAAAUAUAAACUCGCCUGAAAAGAAUGUCCCAUCUGCUAAAAGAAGUGAGCUUGCUGAUCAGAAUGUUCGACAAAAACUAGCCGUUAGAAUAGAGAACAGUAAAAAAUUAAAUGAAAAUCUAAUGCCAAACAAAAAUAGUUCGGAAGCUUCAUCUGCAAAUACAUCAAAAAGUAAAGGAGAUAAAACGUAUGAUUCGGAGGCAUCAACUCUCAUUUUGUCAAGUAGUGGUACGAAUGUUAGGAAUAGAAGUAGAGUGGUGGAUAGAAGUGUUGAUUCGGAAACUUCAACCCUGGUCUUAUCUCAAAGUGGCUCAUCUAUUAGCAACGAGAUCAGCAGCGCAGGUAAUUCCAACACGAGAAUCAUUAGCGCUAAUGCGAAGACAUCUCUUGAUUUGGAAAAAGCUAGCACUUUGGUCAUUUCGGAUGAAACACCGGAUAGAAGAUCGAUACCACCGGCAGCAACAUCGACUGUUUUGAAAGCACCUCUUGUCAAGGAAGCCACUGCUGCCAAAGUGUCAAUUGAUGCGAAUACAUCUAAUUUUUCUCAAGAAUCUACUGUUGCCGAAGCACCAUUUGUUUUGAAUGACCCUGUUCUUACGAAAACAUCAAAUGUUUCAGAAGAGCCUACAGUUUCAAAUCCACCGACAGAAAAAAUAAUUAAUUCUACAGCUGCGAGUUCGACAAUUAGAUCUAAAUCGAUUAGAGCAGCUGAUACAGAAAUAGUAGUGCCAAGUUCGUCAGGAGGAAGCUUAAAAGAGAAAAGUGUUGCUUUAGCAUCAUCGGAAACGACAAUGAAUUCGGAAGUUUCUGCAAUAUCUACACCAGGUUUAACAUCUAAAUCAAGUGCACCAGCUGAUGAGGAACAGUCAGUAGAAAACACUUCUGGAGAGAAAUUGAAAGGAAAAGGAGUUACGCAGAAGGCGUCUAAAGCUGAUAGUGAAAAAUGUAAUGAAUGGGAUGAAAUUAAAGACGAUGUUACGUCUGUGGUAGAGAAAUUAUUGAAGUUAGAUAAGGAAGAGCAAAAGAGGAAGUUGGUGGAGGUAGAACAGGAUUUAGUUGCAAAACGGUACGUCGUUUUGGACGACUUAGCGGCAGUAUCAGGAAGUCUUCGUGAGUGGGAAAUAGAAAAAGAUUUGCAAGAAACUUUGGCUCUUGAGGUUCGAAAAUUGCGGGAAGAGCUGAGAGUAGCUGAAGAGAAGCUUAAAGAACAAAAAGAACGGGCUGCCUCCAUGGGAACGAGGGUUGCAGGAGUUCACGAAAAAAUGAAUUUUGGCAGGAAGGAAUGCUACAGAAUUGCAAAGAUCUGUACUCAACUUGGAACGGAAAUUAUUGGACGAAAAUAUAGAAUACCUGAGGCUGGUGUUUUACUGGUCAACAAGAGAUUGAAAGAAGUGGCUCAGCACACUAGUCAGCUCUGUCGCAAAAACGACAAGAAAAGUCGAGUUUCUGAGUCUUCUGAGAAAUCUGAGAGAAAAUCUGACGGCACUUUAGUUGAGAGAGUGAAGAAAAUUGAGAGAGAAAAUUCUUGUGAAUCUUUUGCGAGUUGCGGCAGGAACAGCAAUUCAGUCUCGAGUAGUGAAAUGGUUAAUUCGCCAGAGGUGGAAAGUAAUCAGGAAGAGUUUUCUCAGAAGGAAAAAGAGCCGAGUGAAAUUAUUUCUCCAUUAUUUCAUACGACAGAAAAUACUCAAAAUCAAAAUACAAAGUCUGAUAAAUCCAGUAAACAGGCGGGUAGGCCUUACGAGUCAAUAUUGUCCCACUUCAGAACUCCCAGGUGCUCUCAGCCAGAUGGAAUUCUGUGCCCGUAUCAAUUAAUGGGAAGUUGCCAGGACGGAGAUUGUCAAUUUAUCCAUCAUCCUAGUCAUUAGAAGUCUAGAGGCUAAAAAAACAACAUAUUUAUCAUACGUAAGAUGGUUCUGAAUAGUAAUUGGUACAUUUAUUCACUAAUUUUAUCAGCUGGAACGAUUUUGUUUAAAGGGAGAAUCACAUUUUAAACAAUUGAACUCUUUACCAGAUUCGAGUGAAAAAAAUGUGGUUUCAUAGGCAGUGUUUAAAUGAGUGGAUUAUAUUUUUAGAUAAUGGCAACUCCUAAUUGGUAAGUUGUCCUUCGAAAGGAGUUUUACCCAUUCACUCACACUGACUUUCAAAAAAUCUCUCUGGCACAGGACGUCUCUAUUUUAUCCGAGUGAUUUUUUUUUCCUUCCUUCUUUCUUUUUCUUUUCUUUUUUUUCUGUUCCGUGCCAUUUUUUUUAUCGCUUCACGCACAGAGACAAUCGCGAAGAGAAUUUUUUAUAGGAUGUAAAAAGUGUUAAAUAUAAUAUUGAUAAACAAUGUGAAUAAUGUAAAUAAGAUCUGUAGUUGACGAUAUUUGUAAAUCGAUAGUGAUGCGCGUUUCCCGGAAACAAGAGUGAUAAAACUUUUUUUAUAUGCUGGCCGUACCUCAUUAAAAUAAGAAUAUUGUAAUUGCAUUUCUGUAAUAAAGGUCAUUAAUUU